CAGUUGCUAGCUGCACUACCCU
rnacentral:miRNA from 1 species